AAUAUAUGUCAGAAUCUACUGGAAGAAUACAUCUAUUUAAAUCCUCUCUUGCAGGUGCCAUGGAUUUCUGUAGCCUAAAUAUCCUGAAAACUGUCCAACACUUGUCCUUCUCACACUUGACAGCAAGGACUCUUUCUGCUUUUCCUCCAGGCCUGGUGGCCAUGUCACAUGGGGCUCAAGCUUUCUGGCAUUUCAAGCAGAAGUGGAAGAAGUUUAAUGGACAAUGAUUGCUGUCAAGCCCUGCAGGGACAGGUUUCAAGUGGCAGCUAUGUGGGAUAAAUGCAGCAUGUGGAAUACAGGGCCUGAGGGAUGCUCAGCACCCAGCAUUACAGGAUUCUGCCUUUUUCUUGUCUUUGGUGUGGUGCAUGUGGGACACCUGAUGAUGACUCCAGUGAAUGUUGCUGCUGCUCAGUCAACAUCAUAAGGAAGAAUAUCAACUCUCUGGUGUCUGUGGGUAGUUUUCUUCUCAUUCUUCACCUGAAAAGAAGACAACUGUUUCCUUAUCCCAGAGGGGUCUCUAACUUAAGGGUUGGAUUUGAUGGCCCACAGGGAUCAGCUAAAUGUGACUAUCCUUCAUUUACAGAUGUGUGACAUCUGUGUCUGAGCUGCUAUCACAGGGCAGUUCGUGCAGAAACUUCUCAGAAAAUUUCUGGUUUGUAUGGUCAUGUACCAUGGUCAUGUGAGGUGAUCCAAGGUAACUGGCUUUCUGGGAGACAAUGCCAUCCUUGUAAAAGGUCUGUAGCAGAAGAAAAUGUGGUUUUUUUUACAUUGCUUCAAAUAUGAUAUGCGGUUUUUACACUGUGAAUAACAUCCUUUAAUAUCUAUAUUUGGCUUAGCAACUACAAUAAAUCUGACUCUGGAACAUAAGCCUAGAGACCG
rnacentral:lncRNA from 1 species